rnacentral:rRNA from 1 species
GUCUAUGGCCAUGCCACCCUGAACAAACCUGAUCUUGUCUGAUCUCCAAAGCUAAGCAGGGUCGGGCCUGGUUAGUACUUGGUUGGGAGAUGACCUAGCAAGACCAAGUGCUGUAGGCG